rnacentral:lncRNA from 1 species
UAUUGGAAAUCUUGUUUGCAACCAGACUCUAAAGAUGUUAAGGGGUUAUUUGCGCAGUUUUUUUAAUGACAAUUAUAUACUGAAAAGAAAUCAU